rnacentral:misc_RNA from 1 species
UCCUGGUUUCCCAGGCAGUCCCAUCAGAGUGCCUUCUUACGAAGUAGCAACUGACAGCAAGGGUUGCGCUCGUUAUAGGACUUAACCCAACAUCUCACGACACGAGCUGACGACAGCCAUGCAGCACCUGUGAAUAUGUCCAAGGUUUCCCUUGGAAAGCUGCAUCUCUGCAGCGGUCAUAUACAUGUCAAGCCUAGGUAAGGUUCCUCGCGUAGUGUCGAAUUAAACCACAUGUUCCACCGCUUGUGCGGACCCCCGUCAAUUCCUUUGAGUUUUAAUCUUGCGACCGUAAUCCCCAGGCGGAUCACUUAACGCGUUAGCUACGACACUAAUUCCGCAGAGCGGAACUAACGUCUAGUGAUCAUCGUUUACAGCGUGGACUAC